UCUUAUGUUAGAUGUUGUCAUCAUUGGAAACAAAACUCAAUGUGUGAGAUUUAACAUCAAAAUGGCAAUUGUUUUGGACGAACCAGGCACAUUCGAAACAUUAUUAAAUUGUGCUCUUUAUGCUGGUGCCAUUUUUCAACUUAUUUGCAUCUUCGCUGUAAUUUUGAUUCCAAACAAUAAGGACGAAAAGGAUGUUGAGGUGGAACAAAAAAACCAAGCACCUGGAACUCAAUCAGCCACCACUAUCAAAUCUCAUCAAUUAAGAAAGAAAGAGAGAAAAAAGCAUAGAUAAAUCUAUUAUUGUUAUUGUUGUAGAAAAAUUCCUUACUUACAGUUUAUAUAAAUUACAUUUAUCAUAAUAUGCAUGUAUUUUUAAAUUAAAAGAAAAAAAUAAUGAACCAUAAACAUUGUUGAUUUAAAACGAAUUUUUACGUAGUAACAAUAAUAUUCACUAAAAAUUAAUUGUUUUAUCAUUAAUAUUGAAGCUAAUAAACUUAGUAUAUACAUUCCAAAUUCCAUGAUGUAAAUUUUUUCAUGCAGGCUUACAUUUUAUUUAACUUUGUUGUUUUACAUUAAGAACUUUGACAUAUGUCUGCAUUAAUAAUAGUUAGAGAAAAUAAAUUUACAUUUGUUUUUUUUUAUCUUUCAUCUUAAUGAUGGUUAGUUAUCAUCUGCAAUUGUUUAUGUUUUGUGUGAAAAUGAAUUAAUCUAAGGAAACUUAAUUUUCUUCUCAAUUUUUGUAAUUUCUUCAUUUUAAUUGUACUGACAGCUGGCCUGUAUUUUAUACUAUCAUUAGGAACUAAUUUUAAAUGCAAGAAGUACAAAUAAUGAUUGAUGUAAGCAUAAGUAAUGCUACCAGUACCAAAUUUUACACUGUACCAGGGAUAAAUUUCUAAAAUAACUAAAUAUAGUUAUGUGCCAUGUCUUAGCUGUACAUUUCAUUUUGCUACCUUUUGAUACUAGUUACUACCAUACUUAUGUUUAGAUGACUUUAUCUAAUAUUGUCUUCAAAUUGAUGACACUCCCUAAAAUAUUGUUUGAUAGACAUGUUUUAUGUUUAUUAUUGUUCUUCUGUUACUGAAAUCUGAUCUUGUGUCUGUAUGUAUUAUAAUAUUAUUAGCUUGUUUUAUGCUUUUUUUCCCCCAUAUAAAUGUAUUUACUUUAGCUUAAAUAAAUAUAUACAUAUUUAUCAA